ACGAACGCUGGCGGCAGGCCUAACACAUGCAAGUCGAACGCUCCGCAAGGGGAGUGGCGCACGGGUGAGUAACACGUGGGAACCUACCUUCUGGUACGGAACAACCAAGGGAAACUUUGGCUAAGACCGUAUACGACCUCCGGGUGAAAGAUUGAUCGCCGGAAGAGGGGCCCGCGUCCGAUUAGGUAGUUGGUGAGGUAACGGCUCACCAAGCCUUCGAUCGGUAGCUGGUCUGAGAGGAUGACCAGCCACACUGGGACUGAGACACGGCCCAGACUCCUACGGGAGGCAGCAGUGGGGAAUAUUGGACAAUGGGCGCAAGCCUGAUCCAGCCAUGCCGCGUGAGUGAUGAAGGCCUUCGGGUUGUAAAGCUCUUUCACCCACGACGAUGAUGACGGUAGUGGGAGAAGAAGCCCCGGCUAACUUCGUGCCAGCCGCCGCGGUAAUU
rnacentral:rRNA from 1 species